GAUGAACGCUGGCGGCGUGCCUAAUACAUGCAAGUCGAGCGAACAGACGAGGAGCUUGCUCCUCUGACGUUAGCGGCGGACGGGUGAGUAACACGUGGAUAACCUACCUAUAAGACUGGGAUAACUUCGGGAAACCGGAGCUAAUACCGGAUAAUAUAUUGAACCGCAUGGUUCAAUAGUGAAAGACGGUUUUGCUGUCACUUAUAGAUGGAUCCGCGCCGCAUUAGCUAGUUGGUAAGGUAACGGCUUACCAAGGCAACGAUGCGUAGCCGACCUGAGAGGGUGAUCGGCCACACAGGAACUGAGGCACGGGCCAGACCCCUACGGGAGGCAGGAGUAAGGAAUCCUCCGCAAUGGGCGAAAGCUUGACGGAGCAACGCCGCGUGAGUGAUGAAGGUCUUUGGAUCGUAAAACUCUGUUAUUAGGGAAGAACAAAUGUGUAAGUAACUAUGCACGUCUUGACGGUACCUAAUCAGAAAGCCACGGCUAACUACGU
rnacentral:rRNA from 1 species